ACUCCUACGGGAGGCAGCAGUGGGGAAUUUUGGACAAUGGGCGAAAGCCUGAUCCAGCCAUGCCGCGUGCAGGAUGAAGGCCUUCGGGUUGUAAACUGCUUUUGUACGGAACGAAACGGCCUUUUCUAAUAAAGAGGGCUAAUGACGGUACCGUAAGAAUAAGCACCGGCUAACUACGUGCCAGCAGCCGCGGUAAUACGUAGGGUGCAAGCGUUAAUCGGAAUUACUGGGCGUAAAGCGUGCGCAGGCGGUUAUGUAAGACAGUUGUGAAAUCCCCGGGCUCAACCUGGGAACUGCAUCUGUGACUGCAUAGCUAGAGUACGGUAGAGGGGGAUGGAAUUCCGCGUGUAGCAGUGAAAUGCGUAGAUAUGCGGAGGAACACCGAUGGCGAAGGCAAUCCCCUGGACCUGUACUGACGCUCAUGCACGAAAGCGUGGGGAGCAAACAGGAUUAGAAACCCGUGUAGUCC
rnacentral:rRNA from 1 species